AGAGACCUACACGUCUUUUCCUGAUCACUAGUGUACACCAUGAUGCUUCUUCAGGAGCAGUUGUACUGAAACAGUGCGAAGAUCACCUAAUGUAGAUACGAAAUAAACAUAUUGUGUCAUGUA